rnacentral:tRNA from 1 species
AGGCUUGUAGCUCAGGUGGUUAGAGCGCACCCCUGAUAAGGGUGAGGUCGGUGGUUCAAGUCCACUCAGGCCUGCCA